AAGGGUAGACGUGUAACCGCCCCUGUGAGAGGGGAGGAAAGUCCGGGCAUCAAAGGGCAGGAUGGUCCAUAACAAGGACUGGGAGUGAUCCUAAGGAAAGUGCAACAGAAAAUAUACCGUCCUGUGAAAGCGGGAUAAGGGUGAAAAGGCGAGGUAAGAGCUCACCAGCCCCGUGGCGACACGGGGGCUUUGCAAACCCCAUCCGAUGCAAGGCCAAAAAGGGGGCUGCCUUUUGUGGCAGCGAGGAUUGCCCAUCCUUUAACCCGGGUAGGCCGCAAGAGAUUCAGGGCAAUCUGAAUCCUAGAGAAAUGGUUACAAUCCCUUCACAGAUAGGGAACAGAACCCGGCUUAUAGUCUACCCUUUUUU
rnacentral:RNase_P_RNA from 1 species